GGGAAUGUGGCUUAGUGGUAGAGUUCUUGCCUAGCAAGCAUGAAGCCCUGGGUUCGAUUUCUCAGUAUCA
rnacentral:tRNA from 1 species